AAUUUAUAAAACAUAUACACAUGUAUACGUUAAAUAUAUACAUCUAUAGAAGAUAUAUACACAUAUAUACUGUCGCACCCCUUUUUUAACCCAAAAAGAAUAAUUUUAGAUUUAAAAGUUUGAAAGGGUUUUUAUUAUAAAGUGACAAAAAGAUGAAAAUUUGUUUUGAAAAGGAUUGUUUAUAGUCAAAACUCAGAGUCACCACUUGACAUAAAUUGGGUGUGCCAAGUCACCUUUGGAAAUCCUUUUUCAAAACAAUUUGACUCUAAAACUGAUCUGCGAAUAGAGAUCCGGCUAAGGAAUUCUGUUGAUCGAGGGGAAGGUGUUAGGCACCCCUCGAUCCCGUGGUUCGACCACGGUUGCUUGGUGGAGCGUAUCUGCUAAUUUGACAUUACAAAUGUAUAAACCACACAAAAACAAUCAAUCAAAAACACGAAAUAAAAUAAAUCCAAAAUAUAGUGUUCAGUCCAAUUAUACAGUCCAAAAAUAUAAUUGCGAAAAAUAAAUCCUAUUCUAACCUAUCCUAAUCCUGAACUACACUUUCAUGCUUUACCCGAUGCUUCGGGCCUUCAUCACGAACCUCCUUUACGUACAUAAUACAUCGGGGCAUUCCCCGAUAAAUAAAUACAAAUGACCACGGGGCAUUCCCCAACUAAAUGAAUACAUUUUCCAAAUGCGAGAAAAAGAGAAUCAUUCAACAAACAUUCCACAUUACUCAAAAAUCCAUGAAUUCUGAAUUUACCUAUCCAAGCCUACUAUUUGCCUACCUCAUUCGACCUAUCACAAUUCCAACAAAUUCAAUAUAAUCGAUGAUCCAAAAUUAAUACUAAUUCACUAAUCGUGUUUAACCCCUUCCCAAAUUUCUUUCAACACGUGAAUUUUAACAUGAAAUAGUUAUCCACCCGAUAUCAACAUCGAUUCCAUGCCAAUGACUAGCUAUUCGGAUAAGCAGGGCCAAAAUAUCAACCAAAAUCGUCUAAUCCAUAAUUAUCAACACACAAACAUUACUUUACUCAACAGAACACCGCAUCAAAUCAAUAUUCGGAAUCAUACAUAAAAAUUAAGAAAUAGAAUUGAGAAAUGGAUCUUGAUACCAUUUUUGAGGAAUAUUACUCGAUAAAAUAAAGAAAACCCAUUUCCGAUAACUUCAAUUGGCGCCUCAAUGAUGAACUCGUCCAACUCGGAGCUACGAAGUCGCAAAAUAGACAGAUUCAAACCAGAUUUGACUAACCCACCAAAACUUAAGCAGUUAUGACGAACUCCGACGGGUAUGAUGGCUUUGAUGCAUUUUUCGACGAGUUUGUCCUCUCUAUCUCGAGUCUCUCUCUCGAAUCUCUCUCUUCGCUACUCCAUUUUUCUGGUUUGUGUGUGGUUUUUAUGAUGGUGAGAUAAAGAAAAUCGAGGUAUGUGUGUGUAUGGCAGUGGUGAGUGAUGUGUGAAGAAGAUGGUCGUCUGGAGGUGUAUAUGGUUACUGUGGCCUCCCCCUGUUUUCCAGUGAACCCCCCUUUUUAUUUGGAAUCUCGUCUUGUGAUACGCCUACUUUUUGUGAAUGAGUAUGUAAGUAUACAUAUAGUAUGUAAUUUUUUUUAUUUUUUUUUGUGAAUUGGUGGACCCCUUUUGAAUAUUCCUCUCUUUGCUAUCUGUAGAAGAAAAGGAAUAUAUCUUAUAUAUAUGUAGGGUGGGCCCGGGUAAUUGUGAGGUGUAAGGGUGUACAAUGUGUGGCCAUUAAUUCCGUG
rnacentral:lncRNA from 1 species